UACGUAGGGUGCGAGCGUUAAUCGGAAUUACUGGGCGUAAAGCGUGCGCAGGCGGUUCGUGAUGUCUGGUGUGAAAGCCCCGGGCUUAACCUGGGAAUUGCAUUGGAAACUAGCGGGCGUGGAGUGUGGCAGAGGGGGGUGGAAUUCCACGUGUAGCAGUGAAAUGCGUAGAGAUGUGGAGGAACACCGAUGGCGAAGGCAGCCCCCUGGGCUAACACUGACGCUCAUGCACGAAAGCGUGGGGAGCAAACAGG
rnacentral:rRNA from 1 species